GGAGAGGCCUGUGGGUUGUAACCUCUUUUCUCAGGGAAGAAGAUCUGACGGUACCUGAGGAAUCAGCAUCGGCUAACUCCGUGCCAGCAGCCGCGGUAAGACGGAGGAUGCAAGCGUUAUCCGGAAUUAUUGGGCGUAAAGCGUCCGUAGGUGGUUAUACAAGUCUGUUGUUAAAGGCCGCAGCUCAACUGUGGAUUGGCGAUGGAAACUGUAUGACUUGAGUGUGGUAGGGGUAGAGGGAAUUCCUAGUGUAGCGGUGAAAUGCGUAGAUAUUAGGAAGAACACCAGUGGCGAAGGCGCUCUACUGGGCCAUAACUGACACUGAUGGACGAAAGCUAGGGGAGCGAAAG
rnacentral:rRNA from 1 species